AUUGAACGCUGGCGGCAGGCCUAACACAUGCAAGUCGAGCGGCAGCGGGAAAGUAGCUUGCUACUUUUGCCGGCGAGCGGCGGACGGGUGAGUAAUGACUGGGGAUCUGCCCAGUCGAGGGGGAUAACUACUGGAAACGGUAGCUAAUACCGCAUACGCCCUACGGGGGAAAGCAGGGGACCUUCGGGCCUUGCGCGAUUGGAUGAACCCAGGUGGGACUAGCUAGUUGGUGAGGUAACGGCUCACCAAGGCGACGAUCCCUAGCUGGUCUGAGAGGAUGAUCAGCCACACUGGAACUGAGACACGGUCCAGACUCCUACGGGAGGCAGCAGUGGGGAAUAUUGCACAAUGGGGGAAACCCUGAUGCAGCCAUGCCGCGUGUGUGAAGAAGGCCUUCGGGUUGUAAAGCACUUUCAGCGAGGAGGAAAGGUCAGUAGCUAAUAUCUGCUGGCUGUGACGUUACUCGCAGAAGAAGCACCGGCUAACUCCGUGCCAGCAGCCGCGGUAA
rnacentral:rRNA from 1 species